rnacentral:rRNA from 1 species
UACGGAGGGUGCAAGCGUUAUCCGGAUUCACUGGGUUUAAAGGGAGCGUAGAUGGCUUUGUAAGUCAGUGGUGAAAUAUUGCGGCUCAACCGCAAAACUGCCAUUGAUACUGCUUAGCUUGAAUCACGUCGAGGUGGAUGGAAUAAUACAUGUAGCGGUGAAAUGCUUAGAUAUGUAUUAGAACACCGAUUGCGAAGGCAGUUCACUAGGCGUGUAUUGACACUGAGGCUCGAAAGCGUGGGGAUCAAACAGG